rnacentral:rRNA from 1 species
GUCCAGGGGGCCGCCUUCGCCACCGGUAUUCCUCCAGAUCUCUACGCAUUUCACCGCUACACCUGGAAUUCUACCCCCCUCUACGAGACUCAAGCUUGCCAGUAUCAGAUGCAGUUCCCAGGUUGAGCCCGGGGAUUUCACAUCUGACUUAACAAACCGCCUGCGUGCGCUUUACGCCCAGUAAUUCCGAUUAACGCUUGCACCCUCCGUAUUACCGCGGCUGCUGGCACGGAGUUAGCCGGUGCUUCUUCUGCGGGUAACGUCAAUGAGCAAAGGUAUUAACUUUACUCCCUUCCUCCCCGCUGAAAGUACUUUACAACCCGAAGGCCUUCUUCAUACACGCGGCAUGGCUGCAUCAGGCUUGCGCCCAUUGUGCAAUAUUCCCCACUGCUGCCUCCCGUAGGAGUCUGGACCGUGUCUCAGUUCCAGUGUGGCUGGUCAUCCUCUCAGACCAGCUAGGGAUCGUCGCCUUGGUGAGCCGUUACCCCACCUACAAGCUAAUCCCAUCUGGGCACAUCCGAUGGCAAGAGGCCCGAAGGUCCCCCUCUUUGGUCUUGCGACGUUAUGCGGUAUUAGCUACCGUUUCCAGUAGUUAUCCCCCUCCAUCAGGCAGUUUCCCAGACAUUACUCACCCGUCCGCCACUCGUCA